CUCCUCUCAGCAUGCCUCCAGCAAGGCCUCUUCACCCUGGCAGAGGCCAUUCCUUCCAGUAGCAAGGCUGAAUGAGUUUGCUGUUUUUCCAACACUCACAGAUACAGCCUCAUUGCACCCCCUCCUCAGAGUUUGGGUCGAGGCCCCCGUGCGCUCGUCCUCCUAGCUCAGAGAUGCCAGCACCAGCCACGCAGCAUCUCCUUCUUAGAGGUCUGCGUCUCAGCUCCACGGCACUCCUCCUCUAACUCCUGGUGGACGAGGGUACAGCUGCGUGGUCGCUCAGUUCUCAGAGCGUCAGCCUCCUCAGUUACCAGCUGGGGCUCUCAAAUCUUCCCUGCUCGCCUCAACGAGUCAAACAGAGUCGUGGGUGUGGAAGAACCUUGAGGAGCCUGAGAGCCCCACACACAGUAAAUUGAUUUCAUGACCUAUCAACGGUCAUGACACACAACUUGGAAAACACUAUGCUAAAAAGGCAGAAAUGAUGCCAGAGGGAGAGAGAAUCAAACGACGCAAAUGGCACAGACGCCGACAUGUUGCAGAUGUCUCCGAGGUGGCUCGGGCACAAGACAGACAGAGCCGGACAGGAAGAACCACUCACCCACAGACGCCGACAUGACACCCCGAGAAGGGCAGAGAUGGAGACAGGACACCCAGGGACAGCCCAUGGAACUCACUUUGGGAAACAAGCUAUAGUGGAAAGAGUAUGGGCUUUGGAGUCAAGGAAGAUCUGAGUUGAAUGCUGUGGGGCUUCCAACACGUCACUUAACCUCUCUGAGCCUGAGAUUCCUACUCCGUAAAACAAGAGACGGUCAUAUAGACUAAAGGUAAUCCAGAUGAAGCACCUGGUUCCUAC
rnacentral:lncRNA from 1 species